rnacentral:rRNA from 1 species
GAUGAACGCUAGCGGCAGGCCUAAUACAUGCAAGUCGAACGGUAAGGCCCUUUCGGGGGUACGACGAGUGGCGGACGGGUGCGUAACGCGUAUGCAACAUGCCUUCCAGCGGGGGAGUAUACCAGGGAAACUUGGCGCAAUACCCCACUAGAAUUACGGGACCGCAUGGUCUUGUGAUUAAAACUACCGGUGCUGGGAGAUUGGCAUGCGUGACAUUAGCUAGUUGGCGGGGUAACGGCCCACCAAGGCGACGAUGUCUAGCUGGUCUGAGAGGAUGAUCAGCCACACUGGGACUGAGACACGGUCCAGACUCCUACGGGAGGCAGCAGUGGGGAAUUUUUGGACAAUGGGGGCGAACCCUGAUCCAGCCAUGCCGCGUGAGUGAAGAAGGCC